UUUAUGGGCUUGGAGUGGAUGCCUCUACACCAGUGAAUAGGACGUGUAAAUACGAAAGGCUGUUUUGUUAGGUUUAUUCAAAACAGAUUUCCUACAGGAAACAAAAAAAAUAAAAGAAAACUGGAAAUGGAAACCUCCUUUACCAGUAUAAAAAUCAACAGAGAAACCGAUAGUAGUGGCGAACGAACUUGGUCUUAUUUUUUCUUUUUAUCAAUACGCUCUUAUGCGUUCUUUAUAGAAGCAUUAGAAUUCUAUAAAAAUUUUUUUUAUGUGUUCCUUG
rnacentral:rRNA from 1 species